rnacentral:lncRNA from 1 species
GUCAAAUUUACCUCUACUACUUGGCCACAACAACAAUGUCAUGGUCAAAUGAUUGAAACACAAAUUUUGGUAAAAGAGAAGUAUAUAUGUGGGAUAAUAUAUACGCCAUGAUCCCCAUAAUAACUCCUCUUUCUUCUCAAUUUUGUUUUCAAGAUCUUGGGCGAGGGAAGAAUUGCGUACCACUAGCCGUCAUGAAGGCAUUAAUCGGAGCCGAAUACAACGAAGAAGGAUCAACAAGUGCGCCCGAAGAGGCAACAACAGUGGUAUCAGAGUCGGCAAUUAGGUUCAACGGUUGAGCAACGCCAACACCGCCUCCACCGGAAGUCUCCCCAAUCAUGUAAUUACUAUUAUUAUAAUUACUAUUGUUGUUGCUAUUGUUGGUACUACUUUCUGGACCAAAAUCAUAGAGAAUUCCUUUGAACAAAUGUCCUCCAAUGUUAACAGCCGUUUGAUAUGCAUACCUAUCAUCUGCAUCAUCAAUUGAACUAACCCUUACACACCUGAACUCCGCUGGUGAGCUUACCACAGCAGGAAAAUUUGCUUCCUCUAAGCCUUUAUUUUUUAACAAAACAAAAAAGUCAUUAGACAUAUAUUGUAUAAUAUUAUUUGACUAUGUUAAUU